AGAGUUCUGGAAGGAACAUGACAGCAUCCUUUCCUGGGGGGUCAACUGAGAAAUCCUGGGCCAAUGUCUCUCUGAGGACACUGAGAUCUGCCUGUGUACAGGAGAGAGGCUUUGAAGGCCAUGUAGAGGAGCCCGAGCCUUCAAUUGACCAACUCGAGUUACACAAGCCCUCUUGAAUGAAUUGAGUUUGUAAGUCAGGGGUCCACUGUAUACUGCUUUAAACACACUCUAGAUAGAGAUAGAGGAUACACCUUUGAAGCUGAGUUUUUAAAAUUAAAAAAGGGUGAGACCUGCCAAAAUACUAAAGCUAACAGGCACUUGCUAAAAUUCCUAUUUACGGUUACCAAAUGUUAUGGAUUGUUCUUGAAAUUCAAAUAAAAGACAGUGUAUGUUAAAAUAUGGGCGAAAGCACAGCGAUUACCAUGCAGUACAAAUGUAGCUCACGGACCAAGGAACUGUCACAAAUUCAGGUCACCCAGGAAGAGUGGGCGCGUGGCUGGAUAACUAAAAUCAAUAGACUCGAAAUUGUAUCCUCCCGCUGACAUACUCUAUCAUAACCCUAACACAGCACGCUUUUGCUCUUUUGUUCAAGCGGAGAAACACGCGGGAGUUUCCUGCGUCACAGCCUCGGUGGACGACAUUCAGUUUGAGGAGGCGGCGAGGAUCAGAUCUCUGCUUCCUGCCCGGCAUGGGAUGGGCAGCUGUCCUCUUCCCAGGCUCUUCCACCAUGUCAUAGAAAUGGACUGAAAGCCAAGAUCUUGGAGAUAGCCAAGAAUGGACUGAAAAUUAAAACCAAAUCAACAUGGACCAAAGGCUUAGCUAUGAAAACAACCUUUAAAACUGCCAGAAGAUAACGUGAGGAAGAUGCUUGAGGCCACAGACACCGGUAAGGAGCUGCAGAGCAGAACUCCAGUAACACGGGGAAUAACACCAAGAAUCAACAGAAGAGAUCACAUCAAAUUAAAAAGUUGUGCACAACAGAGGAAACAAUCAACAGAGUGAAGAGGCAGCCUAGAGAAUGAAAAAUACUUGCCAGCUACUAUCCUGAUAGAAGACAAAUAUCUAGCAUAUAUAAAGAAGUCAAAAAAUAACCCCAAAAAAAUAAAUAAUCCAAUCGAAAAAUGCACAGGGCUGGGGAUUUAACUCAGUGGUGCCGUCGCCUGCCUCGCAAGUGCAAGGUCCCGAGUUCGAUCCCCAGUACCACAAAAAAAAAAAACGAAAAACAAAAAAAUGCACAAAUGAACCCAAUAGACACUUCUUAAAAGAAGAAAUACAAGGAUCUGGUAAGCACAUGGAAAGUGUUCAUUAUCUUUAGUCGUUAGGGAAAUGCAAAUCAAUGUCGCAAUUCCAUCUUGCUCCAGUCAAAGUGGAUAUCAUUAAGGUCUCAAAACACUGCAUGUGCUGGCAAGGAUGCGGGGGGAAAGGAACCCUUCUACAUUGUUGGUGGGAGUGUAAAGUAGUUCAGCCACUGAAAAUACAAAUUUUGUUUGACCCAGCUAGCCCUCUCCCAAAUAUAUUCCUCAAAAAGUAAAAGACAUUAUAAUAUAGCGAUACCUACAUACCCAUAUUUAUAUCAGUGCAGUUCACAACAGGUGAGCACUAGAAACAGCUCAGAUACCCAACAACAGGAAAAUGGAUACCAAAAAGGUAGUAUACAUACACAGUGGAAUACUAUUCAGCCAUAAAGAAUAAAAUCAUAUCAUUUCAGGAAAAUGGUUGAUCUUCAGAUCAUAAUGUUACGUGAAAUAACUCAGACAAGUUAAGCAUCACAUGUUUCUCUUAUAUAAACAGCCCAAAAUAAAAAUAAAUUAGGAAAAAGAGAGGUGAUAGGAAACUUGGAGACAGACAUUUUGGAAAUUGGAAAGGUGAUUAGAUGAAGGGGAUGGCAGGAGUAGGGAUGAAAUGAAUUAAAAAGAUUCAGUGUUGGGCCGGGGAUUUAACUCAGUGGUUUCGCUGUCUGCUGUGCAAGCACAAGGACCCGAGUUCGAUCCCCGGUACCAAAAAAAAAAGAUUCAGUGUGAUACAUAUGUAUCAAUUCCCCAAAAUUAAUAUGACUAUUAUUCUUCACAAACACAUACAAUACUAAUAAAAGAAAAAAAUAUAUUUUCUGAAAGGCUCAUGAUAUCUACAAAGUGAGCACCUAUAAUAGCUCCACAAAAAUUAUAAACCAAGUGAAUAGAUAGAUGGUAGAUAGAUAGACAGACAGACCCCAGGUACUGCAUCCGGUCCCCACCCCUUCCUGUCUGGCAUUGGUCCCUGCCCUGGUUCCUGCCUGCCAUGACUAAGCACCUUUGCUCCAUCAAGCCUUUCCACCAUGAUGUCUUGACUUGCAGCCAACCAUGGACUGAAUUCCCUGAAACCAUGAGCUAAAUGCACCUCUUCUCUUUUAAGGUGUGGAUAUUUGGUAGUUUGUCCCAGGAAUAGGAAAGCUAAUGCACCUCUUUGUGAUAUAGCCUUCUGUGCCUUAUUUCGCUGACACCAAACCCAGUGUAUCCCAGAGCAGUGCCCUGUUAGAGCUGCUGAUGACAACAAACACCUGUGAGGGCAGAAAAGGCCUAAUGGUAAACGGACAGGGACAAGAAGGUCCCCUUCAGCUGUUCAAAAGCACCCGUUAUAUGGUUCCACUGUGUGUGUGUGUGUGUGCGUGUGCGUGUGUGUGCUUUCAUUGCAAAUGAUCCACUAUUUUAAAGAAUAAACCAGGAGCAAUGUUCAAAGACAGUCAUAUGGGCCAUAGGCAAAAGGAUGACCACAGUGUGUCCUAUAGCACCACCUUCUGGGGACGUCUAGCCGGACUCUGCAAACACCCACCAGGAGUUUGCGUUCACUGAUAGAUUCUCAUCCCUGGGCCAAGGGAGAGGGGUGAGUUCAAGUCUCAGACACACUGUCCAGGGUGGACAUAACCUAAACUAUAAAAACUAAAGAUUAAAAUACAAAGAAGUAUAAGUUAAUCUGGCUACUUCUAAGAGAACAUACAUUCAUCAUAACUGAUAACAUUAUGCCACUGACUCAUAGGGGGGUUAAAUUAAUUCUGUGGGUUAGAACACCACAAAUACUAGUGUCCACUUCCAUCUAAGAUCUUUAUUCUCUAACGUUCUUGGUCCUAUUGAAAGAUUUCAGUGUGUAAGAAAUACUGCAGUUAAUAUCCAAGAGAAAAGCCAUCAUCAUGUGUAUACUGGUUAUCAUGGUCAGUGUGGUACAGCUUUUUUAAAAAAUGAGCUGUCAUGCCAUUCAAAAAAGGAAAAAAGUCUCAACACCAUUGCAAAUGCCCAUGGCUGCAAUGCCUGAGAUACAAACUAAGAAUCCAGAGACUCCUCGCUCCGUGUAGAGAACGCACAUAAGAACACCAGGGGGCCACAUGGCAAAGGCAGAGCCUCUCACCUCAAGGAACAACAGCUACCAACUCAGAGCACCUGUCCUAAGAAGCCACUCCCGUUCUUGACAUCGGAUUAACUCUUUUUUUUGUUGUUGUUGUUACCGGGGAUUGAACUUGGGUCCUUGUGCUUGUGCAGCAGGCGGCAAAACCACUGAGCUAAAUCCCCGGCCCAACAUCGGAUUAACUCUUAGCAAGACAUAAAUGCCAACACUGAGAGCUCAGGAACACAGCCCAGAAAUGCAACAUCAAAAUUCAACCUCGGGCAGGUUUGACUCCAAGCACAUGGCCUUAACACCAUAAAACUGCCUCUGAAUACUGAAUAGUUCCUCUGGUGUGAGAAACUGAAAGUGUAUAUAAGGACUAAAGUGUAUAAGAGGUAAUGUGAAAUAGGAAGAAAAGGGGCAAAGGGGAA
ensembl:lncRNA